rnacentral:lncRNA from 1 species
GAAGCUGUGGGUGGAGACACAUCUGAUGGGAGGGAUUUGGAUCCUGCCAGCUCGUCCCUGCAACCCCCUACUCCGGUCCCCUCAAACCUGUCCAUGGCUGGCAGCCCUGUGAUACCUCGCCACAUUCUGCAACAGAAUCCGAGAUAGAGGUAGAAGUGGGGGAGUACGUUGUGGCUGUCAGGGCAGCUUUCUGUAAAAUGCUGCCUGGAGGAGCAUGUGAUUCCAGACCCUCCUCUCUGCAACGAAAGUGAGGUUGACACCUACAGCCUGGGGCCUCCUGGCCCACUGAGCAGAACACACAGAAGCUGGGCCCACCCCUGCCCUCCCCACAAAGGGUCACGG